UACGUAGGGGGCAAGCGUUGUCCGGAUUUAUUGGGCGUAAAGAGCGUGUAGGCGGCCAAGCAGGUCCGCUGUGAAAACUCGAGGCUCAACCUCGAGACGUCGGUGGAAACCGUUUGGCUAGAGUCCGGAAGAGGAGAGUGGAAGUUCCCGGUGUAGCGGUGAAAUGCGCAGAUAUCAGGAAGAACACCCGUGGCGAAGGCGGCUUGCUGGGCGUGAUCUGAC
rnacentral:rRNA from 1 species